rnacentral:lncRNA from 1 species
GGCCUUCAUGUGAGGAGGCUCCUAUAGCCUGUUGCGCCUUUCAUCCGGCUGCCUUCACUCAACAUUAUCUUUAUGAGAUUUACCAGUUAUUGCUCAUCCCUAGGUGUGAAUUAAACAUCCUUCUGUGGGACCAAUGUGUAACUGUCAGACAUCUAAGGGGCUACUGAUAGCACAUCCUGCCUUCCACUGGUGAAGGAGCUGUGCUCCGUGGGAGCCAGAGGAGCCUGUGGAGCCUGUGACUGACCUCAUUUGUGAGUGGAGGGCAUGCCCCUGCCUCCAGCAGUCCUGACAUGAUGAGCAGCUGCAAUACCUCAUGUGGAUCCAGGCACGUAUGCAACCUUACAUGGAGUUGUGGCCCACGUUUCAUGCACAUUGGGCUUUCUGUCUGUGGGCAUUGCAAGAGCUCUCGUGUAGUUUGAGAAAUGCCUCUAGUUUGUCCUUUACAUGUGUGAAUUUCAAAAUAAAGGAGUAAAAACAAAAAAAAAAA